UACGAAGGGGGCUAGCGUUGCUCGGAAUCACUGGGCGUAAAGGGUGCGUAGGCGGGCUUUUAAGUCAGGGGUGAAAUCCUGGAGCUCAACUCCAGAACUGCCCUUGAUACUGGCGAUCUCGAGUUCGGGAGAGGUGAGUGGAACUGCGAGUGUAGAGGUGAAAUUCGUAGAUAUUCGCAAGAACACCAGUGGCGAAGGCGGCUCACUGGCCCGAUACUGACGCUGAGGUGCGAAAGCGUGGGGAGCAAACAGG
rnacentral:rRNA from 1 species